rnacentral:rRNA from 1 species
GUGGGGAAUAUUGCGCAAUGGACGAAAGUCUGACGCAGCGACGCCGUGUGUGGGAGGAAGCUCUUCGGGGUGUAAACCACUGUCAGGAGGGAAGAAAGGCGCUGACUCGAAUAGGGUCUAGCGAUUGACGGUACCUCCAAAGGAAGCGCCGGCUAACUCCGUGCCAGCAGCCGCGGUAAGACGGAGGGCGCAAGCGUUGUUCGGAAUUACUGGGCGUAAAGCGCGGGCAGGUGGUCUGUUAAGUCGUUUGUGAAAAUCCGGGGCUCAACCCCGCGAAAUGCAUACGAUACUGGCAGACUGGAGACUGGUAGAGGCUAGCGGAAUUCCUGGUGUAGCGGUGGAAUGCGUAGAUAUCAGGAAGAACACCUGUGGCGAAGGCGGCUAGCUGGGCCAGAUCUGACACUCAUCCGCGAAAGCGUGGGGAGCAAACAGGAUUAGAUACCCGGGUAGUCC